rnacentral:sRNA from 1 species
AAUAAAAAUACGACAAA